UACAGAGGGUGCAAGCGUUGUUCGGAAUUACUGGGCGUAAAGGGCGCGUAGGCGGUCUUCUAAGUCGAACGUGAAAUCCCCGGGCUCAACCCGGGAACUGCGUCCGAUACUGGAAGGCUUGAAUCCGGGAGAGGGAUGCGGAAUUCCAGGUGUAGCGGUGAAAUGCGUAGAUAUCUGGAGGAACACCGGUGGCGAAGGCGGCAUCCUGGACCGGUAUUGACGCUGAGGCGCGAAAGCCAGGGGAGCAAACGGG
rnacentral:rRNA from 1 species